UACGGAGGAUUCAAGCGUUAUCCGGAUUUAUUGGGUUUAAAGGGUGCGUAGGCGGAGUGUCAAGUCAGCGGUAAAAUUUCGGGGCUCAACCCCGUCGUGCCGUUGAAACUGGCGGGCUGGAGUUGGAGAGAAGUACGCGGAAUGCGCGGUGUAGCGGUGAAAUGCUUAGAUAUCGCGCAGGACCCCGAUUGCGAAGGCAGCGUCCCGGCUCCACACUGACGCUGAGGCACGAAAGCGUGGGUAUCGAACAGG
rnacentral:rRNA from 1 species